AAAAGGUUGAGGGUAUCGAAUAAGCCUUGCAUAUCCACUGCUGGGGAAUUCGCCCCUUCUUGGCUCAUUUAGAGGAAGUAAAAGUCGUAACAAGGUUUCCGUAGGUGAACCUGCGGAAGGAUCAUUACUGUGAUGCGCUUCACUGCGCGUGCUACACAUAUGUUUACAUUCUGAGAGGCUUACGAGCAUUAAAAUCAUUAAAUUUAUAGUCAAAACAACACAAAUAUCAAAACUUUCAACAACGGAUCUCUUGGUUCUCGCAACGAUGAAGAACGCAGCGAAUUGCGAUAAGUAUUGUGAAUUGCAGAUUUUCGUGAAUCAUCGAAUCUUUGAACGCACAUUGCGCCCUCUGGCAUUCCGGAGGGCAUGCCUGUUUGAGCGUCAUUUCUUUCUCACAGAGUAAUUUGUGGUAUUGAACAACCUAAUUUAGGAGUUCAAAACACCCAGCUGCAGUCAGUGCACGUAUAAUGUCUAGGUCCUGCCAACUCAUUACACAAACACAGCACCCAGCUCAACAACCCAAAGUUUGACCUCAAAUCAGGUAGGACUACCCGCUGAACUUAAGCAUAUCAAUAAGCGGAGGAAAAGAAACCAACAGGGAUUGCCUCAGUAACGGCGAGUGAAGCGGCAAAAGCUCAAAUUUGAAAUCUAGUGCUUUCAGUACUCGAGUUGUAAUUUGAAGAUGGCAACUUUGGGCGUGGCCUUUAUCUAUGUUCCUUGGAACAGGACGUCACAGAGGGUGAGAAUCCCGUCUGAUGAGGAGAUCCACGCCUUUGUAAAGUGCCUUCGAAGAGUCGAGUUGUUUGGGAAUGCAGCUCUAAGUGGGUGGUAAAUUCCAUCUAAAGCUAAAUAUUGGCGAGAGACCGAUAGCGAACAAGUACAGUGAUGGAAAGAUGAAAAGAACUUUGAAAAGAGAGUGAAAAAGUACGUGAAAUUGUUGAAAGGGAAGGGUAUUAGAUCAGACUUGGCGGUUGUUGAAAAUCAGUCCCAUGUGGAUUGUGCACUCAACAGCAGCUGGGCCAGCAUCGAUUGGAGUGGUUGGAUAAGGGUUGUUGGAACGUGGCACCCUUCGGGGUGUGUUAUAGCCUUCAGCACAUACGACCUACUUCGAUCGAGGACUGCGUCUUUUGACUAGGAUGCUGGCGUAAUGAUCUAAUAUCGCCCGUCUUGAAACACGGACCAAGGGCGAAUUCCACCAUUGG
rnacentral:rRNA from 1 species